UCGUUUCACGUUUUUAGAUAAUGUAAUACUUGUGUACUCGCCCGUCGCCGGAGUCCACGACUAUUCACGAUGUAGAGAAGAUAUCUAAGAUGUUGUCUUCUCUAAAUCGUCAAUAUUAAUAUUGUUUAUACAUUAACUGUAUAAACAAUAUUGUGACAAUACUCUUCCCUAAUCGGCCUCACCUGCGGUGGCACACACCUAUAAACUAAGUUUAUACGUGCGACGGCCUACGUGUUCCGCAGCCUCUGAUCCGCACUCACACUCUCGACGUCGUUCGGCCGAUUAACUGAACCGUCGGCCAAUUGGCCCUUACACGUAGGUAACUUACAUUUCCCUAUCAUCUCGACGAUUCUCAGUUUCGACGAUUCCAAUCAGGGUAGUUGAACUACAGUAAAUUAUUGUAUUUCGAAUACCUUGGUCCGGAUGUCAAUACAUAUUGUUCAUUAGUGGAAUUGAAACGCCGUUGAAAAGCAAUAAGUUUAUGUGUAUGCAACGCAACAGGCUACAAUAUCCACAUAUCCAGUUCAAGAUGGCUGAUAAUGUGUCGUUUAAAAAAAUUUAAUAAUCAACAGUUGCUCACAAAUCAAGAUGACGUCUUACUUUUGCACUCACUUCAUUCACUCACCUUCGAGUAUGGUUAUGAUAGUUAAAUCCUAAACUCAUCUAUAUUCGUGAGGAUAUUUCAGAGAAUGUUAUUAAUAUCCUGAUACUGUGAUAUUGUGGCAAUUCUACUACAAGGGCAUACAUUUUUAUGUGCAUACUUCAGACAAUCUAAGUGUCAAUAGCCACAGCGUUUGCACAUAUAUUUUCAUCCGAUGGAUGCAAUUAUAGCUAUGGGAUAAAAGUGUAUGUGCCAACGCUACGGCAUUUAGAUUGUUUGAUGUGUGCAUAUAAAAACGACUGACCUUACAGUUACAUACAUCAAAAGUGCCACAAAUUAAGAACAAUUAUGUAUUAGGUAUCUGAAAUAUGUUUAUGAAAACAGAUGUGAAUUGAGAUAAAAUUAUUACUUGACCUAACUAACAUGAUUACAAAUUUUGUUUGCUUUAGAAUUAUUAAAAUAAAUUGCAGGAAUUUGAAAAUAUUACAUUAUCAGAAAUAUCAUAUUUUUUUUUUAUAAAAUUUUCUUAUAGUUAUAUUUUAACGAACAAUAACAUUAAUAUUUAAAUAUAUUUUUUACAAUAAUCUUA